UACGGAAUGUGCAAACGUUAUUCGGAAUCACUGGGCUUAAAGAGUCCGUAGGCGGCAUGUUAGGUGAGGUGUGAAAUCCCCCGGCUCAACCGAGGAAUUGCGCUUCAAACCGGCGUGCUUGAGGAAGAUAGAGGUGGGCGGAACUGAUGGUGGAGCGGUGAAAUGCGUUGAUAUCAUCAGGAACACCGGAGGCGAAGGCGGCCCACUGGGUCUUUUCUGACGCUGAGGGACGAGAGCUAGGGGAGCGAACGGG
rnacentral:rRNA from 1 species